UUUAAUGGAAUGUAAGAGAUCAUUGACUAUAAGGCACGCCAUUAUUUUAAGAGGCUCUAAGAAAAGAGCUUCCAACUCAGCUAUGACACUCUAUGAAAAGUAAGACUUUCCUAGGUCAGAAGCACAGAAGUGUAAAAAGAAUGUUGGUCUCGGGAUGGGUACCAUGUGCACUGUAGCUUAAUGGGCAUAGUGGGGCAUUGUGACAUAGAAACUGCCCUUGCUCCCAGCAGAGGAGAAAAAGCGUGUAAAGCAAUGUCAGUGAUAACAAGCAAAAAUAGGACAGGGGAGAAAGCCAAGAGUCUUCAGACCACAAGAGAAGGAGAGAUUAAUUCUGGUAGGGAGGAAAAUCCACCUGGAUGGACAGCAGCAGAGGGAGGAGGAGGCAGGACAGACCAGAAGAGAGACAAUGAGGUUCUGAACCUAGAUGUUGGCCAAGGGAGCAGAGGAGGGCAGGUCAGGAGGCCCUCGCCCUGCAAUCACCCUUCCUGGGAGCCUUCACUUCACCUGUGAUCUCAAGACCUCUCCCUACUGCCUGACUCGCGCCGAGCUUAUGGAACAUCUUCCCUUGAGGGUCGCAGUCCAUUCGAUGAGCCCUUGUCACAGGUCCUGCUUCUGUGGGGAGCUCAAGCGCGGACACCCUUGGAACACUCCCCAAGUCUCUUCCUUCCCAUCCAGCACCACUUCCCUAAGUCACAGCUGCACCACCUCUCAUCUGGACUGCUCACAGCAGGUGGAGUCAGGAUCAAAAUAGCCAAAGAAAAAGUAAGAAUCCGUAUACAGGAAACAAAUAUGUGAUGAUGACCGGAGCAGCUCAGAAUCAGAACUUGAGCAAGACCUGGGCUGCUUUGAUUUUCUGAAGGUCUCAAAAUAUUAGGGGCAAAAAAGAAAAUAAAAAAAGAAAAAAAAGAAGGAAUACCAAAAGCAAGUUACAUAAAGUAUGAGAUAUAUUACAUGUUUCCAGUGAACAAGUGAACAGUUUGGCACGUCAAAGACACAACGUCAGAGCAUUUAGCCUCAAUUGGCGAUAACCUGAAAAGCCUGAAAAGCAAAGCCUUCUGGGAAUGUGAGCUCCAGUUCUGGGAUGAACCCUGAAAAGGACAGAGUGAGCCACACGUGGUGGCCGGACCAUGGGUAAGGGGUGAGCACUGCUGGGCUCCAUUCUGCUGGAAGGACGGACAAUCUCCUUCUGCACAAUAACUGGUGUGAGGGGGCCGGACGCUGUGAGGGUCAGGAAGGGGAGGGUCCACCCAAAGUAGGCUAAUGGAGCAGUUGGUGACCCCAUUUCCCCAGCUUUCAGCCAGAGAUAUCCCAGAUGUCAUGGGAGAGCCAUUGGAUGCUCUCAGCUCUGAAUUUUCAUGCCUCUGCCACGGUUAGCAUCAGAGCAGUGAUUUCCAUCCAACAUAGCAAAAAACUUUUCAUGGGAGACCAAAAGCUUGUGGCUUCAGAAUGAAUCCAGAAAAAAAAAAAAAUCCCUGUCAUGAGGGUGAAAGGAGCUGCCAGCCUCAACAGGGCUCCUUGGAGAAGACAUUUGAGACUUACAUUCCAGGCAAAGUGGCACUUCACAUUCUGGGUUCUGACCUUCUUGGAAUAAAUGUCUCCACCUGCGGGCAGAACUACCUGGCUCUCCUCCAUACCUGCUAUAUCAGAAUCUGGGUAGAGUUAGGGAGGGGUAGAGGUAUCCUAGGUAAUUUUUUUUAGGCACUAAGGCUGAGGUCCGUCGUUCUAAGCU
rnacentral:lncRNA from 1 species